rnacentral:rRNA from 2 species
AGGGGGCAAGCGUUAUCCGGAUUUACUGGGUGUAAAGGGAGCGUAGACGGCAGGGCAAGCCAGAAGUGAAAACGCAGAGCUUAACUUUGCGACUGCUUUUGGAACUGCCCAGCUAGAGUACAGGAGAGGUAAGUGGAAUUCCUAGUGUAGCGGUGAAAUGCGUAGAUAUUAGGAGGAACACCAGUGGCGAAGGCGGCUUACUGGACUGAGACUGACGUUGAGGCUCGAAAGCGUGGGGAGCAAACAGGAUUAGAUACCCUGGUAGUCCACGCUGUAAACGAUGAAUACUAGGUGUUGGGGGCGAUAGCCUCCGGUGCCGCAGCAAACGCAGUAAGUAUUCCACCUGGGGAGUACGUUCGCAAGAAUG